AUCUUCGGGGCGGGGUGUAAUUCCCCACCGGCGGUAAAGUCCGCGACCCGCAUAUGCGGCUGAUAUGGUGACUUCCUUAACUGCAUCAUUUGUUUUGGGAGAAUUCCAUAACCGACAGUUAAAGUCUGGAUGUGAGAAGAA
rnacentral:ncRNA from 1 species